GGCGCUGCUGGUGUGGCCACCGUAGCGAAAAGGGUCUGAUCGGGGUGACCAGGCGGUGACCCGACGUUUCUCCGAGUUCAACGUAGAACUGAAGAAAUCAGCGCACAAAAUCUCUAUUCCAAACUGUUUGAAUCUAAUAAUAUUGACCCCAGAUCUCCAAAAUCGAAAUUAAUUGACUAAUUUAUGCUGUAAACAUCAAGAAAACUAAAAAAAAAAUGAAGGACAAUCUGUAUUUGGAGAAGAAACACAGCUAGGGUUGCAGAAAGAUUGGGGAAAGAGACAG
rnacentral:lncRNA from 1 species